UGCUGCAGUCGUGCCACGGGCACUCCCAACGGCCUGUGGGCAGGAAGAGGGGUUAAGAUGCAUUACUUCUACAAGAUCAUCUGGGCCAUCAGCACUACUGACAAGACGUUUCAGGAUGAACCCAAGACCCGCCGCACAACGAGCCGAGUGGCUAAAUGUGUCUGAAGUGGACCAGUUGGCGACACUUCACCGCACACCAAGUGACUGAGCAACCUACAUCUACCCACGCACGGCAACGGAAAAACUACAACCCUGUAUUGGGUUUUGAGGCUCCACAUGCAAGAUACUGGACUGCCAUUUUUUUGCAUUGAAACACAAAAAUAUGGAACGAUUGUCAAGGAAAAAGCAGAUGGCCACAAGGAAGAUGAGACGGGCGAGAAUAAGGAGACAGAGUAGAUAUCGUCAGAGGCUGUCAGCAAUGAUUGAUCGCCCUAUUAACUGACUGCACCUGUGCACACUCUCUAUGCUUUGUUUUCUAACCACAGGGUCGCGGGCGUGCUGGAGCCUAUCCCAGCUGUCAUCGGGCAGGAGGCGGGGUACACCCUGAACUGGUUGCCAGCCAAUCGCAGGGCACACACAGAAACAAACAACCAUCCGUACUCACAUUCACACCUACGGGCAAUUUAGAGUCUCCAAUUAAUGCAUGUUUUUGGGAUGUGGGAGGAAACCGGAGUGCCCACGCAGCCACGGGGAGAACAUGCGGGGCCGGGGAUUGAACCCGGGUCCUCAGGACUGUGAGGCUGACGCUCUAACCAGUCGGACACCGUGGUGCCCAUUGGCUGCACCCCGAGGAAACCUGAGCAGUUGUCUGAUCCACAGUGGCAAGAUGUUCUCCUGUUGCCCACACAGUGCAGGUUGUAAUUGAAUGUCAUCUCGGUGCCUGGACACACAGAGAGGAGGCAUUUCUUUGAACUUCUCUAAACUGGAAACUGAACCCAUCUCAAGUCGAGUACUUUGGGGCUGCAGCUGUGGUUAAUGAACCGGGAAGAAUUCCCUUUUGGACCAGCGUCAAUCACACGAUCCUGAAGUGUGCAAAGAUGGACAUUAGGACAAAGGAAGACACGGCCCUGAUUGAUCCAGUAGUAGUCGUGGGAACCGAAGAAAAAGACGGGGAAGUCGCCGAUAUCGUGACGAAGGCUCUGGAUGUUUGACGGCACCAAGCGAGGAUUGCAGAUCUCUGCCGGCCACCACCUGCAAGAAAGGAGAGACGAGUUAGAGAAAGAACAUGCCACAAAACAGAAGCACAGCUCUCAGAUUACCGUAAUUUCUCAUGUAUAAUGCACAUUUUCUCCCCCCAAAAAUUGUCAAAAGUCAAUAGUGCGCAUUAUAUAUAGGUAUAGGGGAAAAUGAAAACAACUUUCACAUUUUAUAAAUGUAUGCCGCCAUCUAGAGGAUGAAA